UGUUGCACUGAAAUAAUGAGAGGCUAUUAAUAUCACUGGGUUGGACGUGGAGGAACAUGUAGGUCUGGAAUUCUCCCUUUCUGUGUUCAAAUUGGAUUAUGGCAUCUAGAUCAUGGCUGAUGUUUUAAGCUUGAAAGAGAAAAGCCUCCACAGUCAUCCAGUUUCUUCUGUAGGAUAUGCUAAUCCUCCACCUCUACUGAAAAAAAUGCCUCCAAACUUUUGUGUCACCAGCAAAUGACAUUAGCACACUCCUCCUUGUUGUUCCAAGAAAAAUCUCCAUCUUUCCCCCCAC